rnacentral:rRNA from 1 species
UACAGAGGGGGCAAGCGUUAUUCGGAAUUAUUGGGCGUAAAGGGCGCGUAGGCGGCUUUUCAAGUGACGGGUGAAAUCCCUCGGCUUAACCGAGGAACUGCCUGUCAGACUGGGAGGCUUGAGACCGGGAGAGGUGAGUGGAAUUCCCAGUGUAGCGGCGAAAUGCGUAGAUAUUGGGAGGAACACCAGUGGCGAAGGCGGCUCACUGGACCGGAACUGACGCUGAGGCGCGAAAGCGUGGGGAGCAAACAGG